GCUUACACUGGGAAAAGCGAAGGUUAUUGGCUGCAGUGUUCAGUGGAUGAGGAGGGAUCAGCCUAGACAGAGAGAGAGAUAUACCUUCAGAUCCUGUCACCCUCCUGUGGACAGCGGCGGCUGGCCUCUUUUGAGCAUCUAAUUGAAGAAGGAGGUCCCAGAUUCUCUUGUGCGUGGUGUCAGCCCCAAAGCCUGUCCAGAGGAGAGAUACUGGGAUCCGGCUUGAAGGACCAAAAAUGUCAGGAAAAUUCUCCAGUCCUGACUUCUCCACAUUAAUAUUCAGAGUGGAAAAUAGCAUAGCUUUUAUACAGGCACAUAAACAUGAGUUACACAUCUUGGUAUGUGUUGUCUCUAGCAGGGGUGGACUGGCCAUCUGGCAUACCGGGCACUGUCCCGGUGGGCCGGUGUCUAGUGGGGCUGGUCAACAAGUUACCCCGGACCUUUAAUCAGUAAAUUGUAAUGACAUUUAAAAUAUCAUGGGUCGCUUCUUUUAUCCCAGCACAACUUUUCCUGUGUUCAUGUCGUUGGUUAUCAGUUCAAGAAACACACAGACCUGUUACAUACGAAUUCAGGCAUCCCACAUAACGCUACUCAGCCAGUGAAAUCUCUGCAUUGUAGCCGCUAAGCAAGCUCAGCGUUCAGAAAACAGUUUAGAGGCAAAGGACAGACAAGAGGAUGGAGUAGAUAGAAAGACAAAUAACGCGACAUUGAGAAGAAAGUCGCCCUGCACAUGCUGAUUAUGUUCGGCUAAACUUACAGUUAUGAGGCUGUUUUCUCAACUAUGAAAACAAUCCAAACUAAAUAUCGUACCAGACUGACCAUUGAGCUCCAAAUGUGUUUGAGAACGACCCUGACACCAUUCAGACCACGAUUCAAAAUACUGACAGGACAACCUGCAGCUCAGUUCUCCCAUUAAGCAGCAGUGAUAUAAGGUGAGAGAUAUAAGACGGGAAAAAAUGUGAAAGUGUUCAAUUCAGUGGCGGAUCUUCUGUGGGGGCAUGGGGCCCCCUGUGAUCUGAUUGCCCAACCCAUGCCCUCCCACCCCCGAAAAAAACAUUUUGUUGAAAAUUUACGUUACUGAAACUCCGAUGUUAAAUUUUCACUCAAAGCCACCAGGAGCUGUGUCAUUAACCGCCGUCUCAUUACAGAGUGAAAGUAGCAGUUCCUCCUGAAGGUCAGAGAUUGCAGCAUCUGAGGGCCUCUUCAAAAGAAGACCUAGUUGAUGAAGGCGUUCUGGAACAGAAAGACCACGACCAAGCAGCCUGGAGAUCUGAGGCAGCGUCUCCCUCAGGAGGGGAAGGACAUUUUCAGGAAUAGAAACAGAACUGCUGUUCAAGUCGGGAGAAAAGAUGCGCACAGCUGAUCUUUAUUCAUGGCUUCCUUUGACGACAGCUACAGGUUUGGCAGCGAAUACCAUUGUGACGAUUCAUUAUUGGAUUUGAGCACUUCACUUACAAGAAAUGUUUGAAGACGACAGGCGGGCGGAGUUGGGACGGCUUCAAACGCACCCUGGAUUCAUCUCCGGUGCUGGCCGGGUUUCAGCGCCUUUCAGCGAGCUUCCGUCGGCACAUCCACGCCGUGUCAGCCGCGCCGAAAAUCCUGGAGUCCGCGAUAAAGGCGAAAUG